AUGAAGAAGUGCAUCUCCUUCGGGGCAGAUGGUGCCUCCAUAAACAUGGGCCACCGUGGGGGAGUGAUUGCCCACCUGCAGAGAGAGGCAGGGGGGCAUAUAAUCCCAAUCCACUGUAUGCCACAUAGAUUAGAGCUGGCAAUACUGACCAUCCAGAAAAAAGAGCCAAAGGCAUCUGUCGUGUACGAUCUUCUGAAUCUGAUAUGGAAGACGUAUCACUUCAGCGGAAAAUCCAAACGAGAGCUCUAUGUUCUCGGACAAGAGCUCGGUGUGGAUAUUUGCACACCAUCUAGCGUCAAGGGAACUCGCUGGAUCCCCCAUGUCCACAGAGCCCUCAAAGUGUUCCUACGACAUGGACAAGACAAGGACCUUGGAUGGAUCCCCCAUGUCCACAGAGCCCUCAAAGUGUUCCUGCAGCAUGGACAAGACAAGGACCUUGGAUGGAUCCCCCAUGUCCACAGAGCCCUCAAAGUGUUCCUACGGCAUGGACAAGACAAGGACCUUGGAUGGAUCCCCCAUGUCCACAGAGCCCUCAAAGUGUUCCUGCAGCAUGGACAAGACAAGGACCUUGGAUGGAUCCCCCAUGUCCACAGAGCCCUCAAAGUGUUCCUGCAGCAUGGACAAGACAAGGACCUUGCCACUGACGAAGGCCAGUACUCCGUUGUUCUGCAGCACAUGGAGCACCUGGCAGUAGCAUCAACAACAGCGGAAGUUCAAGGGCGGGCAAAGAAGGUAAAUCGGGAAAUGGAGAAUGCACUCCUUUGUGUAUUCUGCCAUUUUCUUUCAGACAUGUUUAAAGAGCUAUCCUCACUUAGCCUCACCCUGCAAAGGAAUGACCUGAUCCUCCCCCAAGCCACAUCAGAGUUGAGGAAGACAGUGACCAGACUGGAAGCACUAAAGCUUAGGGCAAAGGCAGGAGGCAUACUGGAGAAGAUCCAGACCAUGCUUGCUCAGCAGCAGGGUGAUGAGAGGAGAUUCCAGGGAAUAACACUGAAGGGGGAUCUGAAAGGCUUCACGGACCUCACCAAUCCCCAGCUGAAGCAGCAUAUUGAGGCGGCCAUCAACAUCGGCGUGGAUGAUUUCAAAGCCAGGUUUGGUGGUUUGCUGAAGGAUGAGGGCGUCCAGAUCCCAGUGGAGUCUUUCAGAGUGCUAAACCCUGACACAUGGCCAGAAGACCAGGCCAGCCUUCUCACCUUUGGCGAUGAUGGUGUGGCAGACCUGAUGAGGAAUUUCAAGGAGCCUCUAGAGAGCUAAGAAUUUAUUUUACACUGCAUUGCCAUAUGAGACAAUGUUAUGUUUGCAUAUUUGCAAACUCACUUGUGCUGUUCAAUCCUGCAGAUCGGGGUGCAACAUGGCUGCAAUCCAGGAUGAGUGGCAGGGGCUGAAAAUCCUGGUCAGCCACAAUUUCAAGGACAAGUCCUACAGUGGCUUGUGGGAGACCAUAUUGACAAAGGACCACUACAUGCACGAUUACAAGGUAGACUAACAGUCCUGAGUGGUUAUGUAUGGUAUCCUAUGGUUGGUUUUGAUAAGUUAAUGGUAAGAGUUUAAAUGAAAUUGAAAGAUAUAUUUUCCCUAGAACAUACUGGAGUUGGUGCAGCUUAUGCUGGUGCUGCCCAUUUCAGCCGCCCAGUGUUAAUGGUAAGAGUUUAAAUGAACCGGAUUAAGAAUUCAACAAGAAGCUGCCUUGGGGUCUCCACCACCGAAGACCUGAUGAGGAUCAGCCUGGAGGGGCCUUCUGUCGAGGAGUUCGAUCCCACUCCUGCCGUGGACCGCUGGCUGACCUCUAAGCGUGCCAGACGGCCAACAUACAAAAGCAGCUGGAAAACUGAUAUCCUUUACGUCUAGUAGGCUUUGGUCAAUGUGUGAUUUUGGUGGUAUGUGCUGUUCCACAGAUGUGUGUCCCUUAGUACACGCACACACACUCACACACGCAGUAUAAAUAUGUAUGUAAUAAAUUGUUUGUUAAUAAAUUCUGUUCCAUUUUUCACUGUGCUCCUAAAUUUCUUUGGGUGCUCCUACAUUUUUUUCAUUUAGGAGCACAUGUACUCCUUGGGAAAAAAGUUAGCGUAGAGCACUGUGCUGCUACCCCUCUCUCUGCCCUACGGGUGAUCAAAGAUGUAUUUGAACAGAGCCAUGAACCCCUCAUAUGAAUCUAGCUCCUCUCCCAGACAGCAGUGGCCCAUUCCAACACCCGCCCAAUCAGCAGAGAAAUAACCGUGGGAAACUUGGACCUCUCGGUGGUGGGGGGCUCCCAUCUGGUGCGAGAAGUAGAGGGAGCACUGAAGAAGGAAGCCACGGCAUUUAGAUGGGGUUCUGUAAUAUUUAUCCGGGAGGCAACGAACCUCUUCCAUAGCCAUCCCCAGUUGUGCCAGCUUGUCAUGGUGAUGACGAGCAGGGGCUCGUCGACCAUCUGGGAGAUAUUUUGUUUUCCUGCUGCCUCCAUUGUUGGAGUCAGUAUUCUGUAACGGAAAACAACAGCUGGAAAAUGAGUCGGAAGCACAGUAGCAUUUGGAUGCAUUUUAAUAAUGCAUCCAAUAAUAUUACAACACAGUGUAGAAUUUGCCAAAACAAAAUCUCAUAUAAAGCCGGUUCUAAGCAAAACCUACACCGGCAUAUACAAACUGUGCACCCAACUGUGAAGCUAGCUGUAGCGGAGCUUCAAGAAACUAGUGGGCUUGCUAGUGAUAGUGGUGGAGCCAGCACCUCCACACGUGGAGAUGUAUCCACUCAGUCAAGUAGGCCUACUCCACGACCCACAGCAACGCAAUCUUCUAUGGACCAGUUUAUGCCAAAGUCUGUGUCUGUAGCAAAACAAGGCCAAAUUGAUAUUGCAUUGGCUAAAAUGAUUGCCACCGAUGUCUAGCCAUUUUCGAUCGUGUAGGACAGAGGUCUUAGAAAUGAUAGCAAUAGUCUAAAUCCAAUGUACACAAUUCCAAGCAGGAAAACACUUUCAAAAUCACUUAUUCCACAACUGUACAAGAGCUCACAGGCUUCAGUGCGGGAAAGAGUUCAAAAAGCUAUUGCAGUUUGCCUUACCACUGACUGCUGGACAUCAAGGGUAACCACUUCUUACAUGUCGGUUACAUGUCACUUCAUUGAAGAUUUUUUGAUGUCUAGUUGUCUUCUGGACUGCUUUGAGUUCAGCGACAGACACACCUCAGAGAACUUGGCAGAGGAACUGUUGAGAGUGGCCAGAGAAUGGCAAGUAGAUGGAAAAGCGGUCUGUUGUGUUAGUGACAAUGCAGCUAACAUAACCAAAGCCAUGAAAAUGUUCAAAUGGACCCAUCAUCCAUGUCUUGCCCACACAAUCAACCUGAUUGUAAGAGAUGCUCUGAAGGCGAUGAAGCCCACUGUGGACAAAGGGAAAUCAGCUGUGGAAUACUUCCACAGGAGCACAGUAGGUGCUGAAAACUAAAGUCUACACAACGCCAGAUGGGGAUGCCUGAGCUGAGGCCUAAACAAAACUGCACUACAAGGUGGAAUUCAACAUUUUAUAUGUUGCAGCGGUUUCUUGAGUCAAAGGAUGCCGUCAUCUCUACCCUGGCCAUUGUCAAUGCACCUGUUGAUGCUCUGACCCAAGAGGAAUGGGAGUUGGUGGAGGAGAUGUGCAGAGUCCUGGAACCCUUCGAGCAGAUCACUGUGGAGAUCAGUGGAGAGAGGUACAGUAAGCAGUUAUUACUACAUCAUUAUUAUAUAUGUAUAUGAGCAGUAGAUGAGAAUGUAGUAUUAGUAGACAAAACAUGAACCUGAACUAAUAAGUUACUGUUCUCUGUUUUCAGCUAUGUGACAGCCUUAGAAAUGAUACUCCUGUGUAAGGGUCUGCAGCGAAUCAUAGCCAGCCGCCAGAGAGAAGCAAAUGUAACCACAAGACAUGUGACAGAGUUGAUGAGAGAAGAAACCGCAUCAGCCCCUCGAAAGUGAGGCAGCUUGCAUUUCUGAAUGCAAAUCUCUCAUAAAAAGCAAAAUAUGGUCAGCAUUGCUGUGUGCUGCUGGUUAUAACAUGGCAAUAAAGAAGAGAGAGAAAAGAGGUACCAGUUUAAUGUUAAAAGUGGGAUGCUGCAGUUUUGCACAUUGUUAUUUAUUUUUAUUUGAUAUGGUGCAAUAUUUGAUUAUUAUGUUGUUCAGAUUGUAUGCGUUUUGAAUUGUUACAUUUCUAUGCACUUUAUAUACAUUUAUAUACAUACGUUUAUAUACAUUAAAAAAGUUAUACUUUAAAUGCACAUGUGUAAUAGCAUCCUUCUUUUUUACAUUUAUUUCAAUUUGUGGGAUGCUGCAGUUUUUCAAAUUAUUUAUUUUUCUUUGAUAUGGUGCAAUAUUCAAUUAUGCGGUUCAGAUUGUAUUUGUUUUGAAUGGUUAGAUUUAUAUGCACUUUGUUUAUAUACAUAAAAAGUUAUACUUUAAAUGCAAAUGUUUAAUAGCAUUCUUUUUCAUAAUUUAAUUAGAAUUGUUUUAACACCAAUCACACCAAACUAUCGCAAACUGUUUGACUUGAAAAAAUACAAAACAUAUAUUUUUUAAAGAGACGUUUGGGAGCC
rnacentral:lncRNA from 8 species